rnacentral:rRNA from 1 species
CUACGGGACGCUCCAGCUGAGGAUCUUUUACAAUGCACGAAAGUGUGAUAGAGCGAGCCAGAGUGUUGUUCUUAGAACAACUUUUAUCUGCUGUAAAAAGGCAGAUGAAUAAGGACUGGGCAAGACCGGUGCCAGCCGCCGCGGUAAUACCGGCGUGUCCAAGUUGCAUCCAUUUUUAUUGGGUCUAAAACAUCCGUAGCUUGCUUUGUAAGUUUCUUGUGAAAUCUCAUGUCUCAAACAUGAGGCUUGCAAGAAAUACUGCAUAGCUAGAGACCGGAAGACGUAAGGAGUAUGAUUGAGGUAGCGGUAAAAUGUGUUAAUCUUGAUCAGACUAACAACGGCGAAGGCACCUUACGAGUACGGAUCUGACAGUGAGGGAUGAAGGCCAGGGGCGCAAAACGGAUUAGAUACCCUUGUAGUC